GUCGUCGAGAAGAUCAGUUUGUUUUGUUUAAAAUAAUUAUAUUUUGAUAACUUCAUUAUUGAAGAGAAGAAAUUUCAGGCACUUCGGUAAGUUAUUCUAGCAUACUUCUACCUUUAUUUCAACGUUCCAAGUUUAUAUGCUUGAUUUUUUUUUGUAAACACUAUUGGAUGAAAUAUGAUUUAACACUCAUUACAAGCUAGUUUGUGACCAUCGUCCAAUAUGUUACCCUUGAUAAGCUAACUAUAAGCUGAAAUUUGAUCACACGUGGCACUUGUAAUGUUUGUCAUGCAUGUAGUAACUUUUUCUAAGUAUAAUUCGGUAGAUCAAAUUCGAGGAAAAGAGGGAUUUUGGUUACGAAAAUUCGAAUAUAUCAGUCAUCCUCUGAGAAACAUAUAUAUUCCAUAAUGAUCAACUUUGCACGCUUUGUAAUAUAGAUUCCUUGUAAGCAGCACAUUCUCUUUACAGAAAAGCAACAAAGGAAAUACAUUUCUGGAAUAUUGUAUCAGCUGGAAAAAAUAUACUCUAUAUGUACAGCGUUUGAAAUUAUACUAUGGUUAAUUCGUUCUAUUAUAUUUGUUCUGUCCGUAAACCUAUGUUGUUGAUUUUUGUUUACUUUGCAAUGCUCUAUUCCUCCCUCUCUGGCAUUAUUAUUUACGCAUUUAUAGAUACUUUUUUACCUGUGAUUCUUUUAGAGUCUUAUGAAAAGAGUGAGUGAUGAAAAAUAAUUUUAUCUAAUUCUUGAGCCAAUGCAUAGCUAAGGUCACUUUGCAUACGGAAAAUAUGUCGGCGAAUUGCUUCCUGGAAGCAAGCAAUUAAAAAAGAGUAAACUUCUUCAUGUUCUUCUUAAUGUGCACAAAUUAAAGAAUUUUCUUCAGAAAAAAGUAUAUGUACAUAAGUUUUAUUAUGAAACUAUCCAUUUAGAGGUUUCAUAUGACUUUAAGUUAGAAAUUUUAGAAACCGUCUUAUGCAAACAAUAACAUUUCAUAAUAUUCAUUUUAGUGAUAAUUAUGAUUAGGAAAUGCAUGUACAAAGUCAAUAAUAUGACAUUUCCAUUAGUUUGAAGUGUCUGAGAUUUUGAUUUUGCAAUUUGGUUAUUGACUUUCAUUUUUAUUUUAUGUUUUGAAGUUCGGUAUUUUUUGUAUUUUAAUUUUCAUUGAAUCCUUGAUGUCUAUGAAUGAUUGCAUCCUAUAAAAAGGCAUACAAAUUACUUUAAAAGCAGUUUUAAUACUAUGUUCGACCAUGCGAAUUGUUUGCUGUGCUCAUAUAGAUCAGAGGCAGAUCCAGCCAUUUUAAAAGGGGGGUCCUAACCCAGGAUAAAGGGGGGGAUUCCAACCCCCGGAACCGCCCCUUAGGAUCCGCCACUGUAGAUUGUCUUAAUUGUUACAAUAAAUAGCACGAAAAAUUGAAAAUCUCUUAUAUUUUAAAUAUUGUUUGUCAUAUUCAAACAAUAAAGCACUGACCAACGAAUAUAAAUUCAAAAUCAGUCUAACUACAAACUUUAAUCAAGAAGGAGUGCACCAUUAAAACUGUCAACUUGUCUACUAGCUAUCUAUUAUUUGGAAACCCUACUUUAUUUAUUUAAUCUCACCUAAAUACAUCAUUAAUGACCAUUUCUUCCUGCUUAAUUUGGCUUUAAGACCCAAAAUCACUAAUAAAUAGUUUCCGUGUACGUCAAUAAAUUUGUAUUUUUCUUUUUUUAUACAACAAAGGACACAUAAUUGUUUUACUAUUUCUAUACAGACAAAACAUACCGACAAAAUGUAGGCCAUUUUUUCAUUUAAACUUGACAAACAAAGUCUUAUUUGGCAAACAUUGAUCAUAUUUCGUUUUAUCAUUAGCAGGCCAAUUUGAAUGAAUGGUAUAGGUCAACUACUCGGAUGAAUGAUCAUCGUUGAAUACCUCACUGUCAAAAUUAUAUGUUUGUCUAUUUUUCACAAGGAAACCAUGUCCAACGUUAAACAUAAUAUUCUCAAAGUUUAUUUUGCAUUAAUUUGAUCAAUUAUUUACUCAUAUUAAACAACAAACUCUGUUUUGCUAGAAUGAAACUCAAGUUACAAAAUAAUUUGUAUUAACGGCCACGUAUCAUAUAACGUGUUUAUGCAUGUCACCGUUGUCAUUGAUUUUGUCGUUUACAGUUAUACUGAUGAGUCAUGUGUAGACAAAAUAGGCGACACGGGUGACUCCUAGAAAUGUUUAGAAAGUUCUUCUUUCAGUCUUAACUACGAAUAAUAAUGUUGAUGAUCUAGUAUGCAUAUUUGGGAUGAUAUUAGAUGCGAAUAUUUAUUUUGAUAAGUAAGUUAAAUAAAUGAAGUACUAAGGAUUCAUAUCGAAGGUCCGGUAUUGUAAAUAUGCUAGCUUAAAAUAGUAGGUAAAAAAAUUCGUCGACUGUCGUAAAUCAAUACAUACAACAUUAUGUAUAUGUCCGUUUAUUUACACACUGCAUGAAUACAUUUAUUUAAAAUAACUGUACACUCAGUUUUAGAAAUGAAAGCUUUGAAUUCCAUUUAAAACUCCAAAAUUACCGUCUAUACAACUGCUGUUGUCUGUUCUAUGAUCGGGUUGUUGACUCUUUGACACAUUCCCCAUUUCCAUUCUCAAUUUUAUUGUAACUAUAGAUGAGUGCAUAGUCUAUUUUUCUUUCUUUAGAAAAUAGAUGUAAUGAAAUUGAUGUUAACAUCAAAUAUCUCUUCAGUGAUGCUGGAGACUCAAAUAUUUAAAAAUCCACAAAUUGUUGAAAAAAAUAAAAAGCUGAUAAAAUAAAAUAGACAAAAGGUAUAACCAAAGCCGAGUAGGGAGUCAUAUCUUUGCAUAAGGUAGACAUAUUUGUUUAACUCUCAUUAUGAAUUAAGUUUACAAGUACCUUUUAUAUUUAUAAAAAAGAUCAGAUCGAUCAACGCUUUGUUCUAAUAAUUCAAAAGAUCUCUAUCAUUCAAAUACGAUAGGUAUUUAUAUACAUGCACGGUAAUAUAGUUAGUUUAAAUGAUUUACAAGACCAACAAUAAUCUUUAAUAUUUAAAUUUUUUGUUGGUCAAUCCACUUGUAUAAAUUAUAGCACUAUUAACGUGAAUGAAAAUAUAUAAAGUUUUCCAGACCCUAAGCAGCAAAUCAUUAAAUAAAUGUUUCUGUGACAUACUCAGUUGACCAAUUCUCCAUUUCCAUUCUCAAUUUAAUAACAAUAGAGCUUUAAGAAAACAGGACAAACAUGAUAUCAGUUUAACCAUUAAGAAAACAGAUCAAUCGAUUAUAAGAAAUAAAGCAUUAUAAAAACUUAACAAUCAACUAUAACAAUAUCAAAAUAUUAUAAAAACUAGGCAAUCAACUAUAACAAUUAAAGCAUAAAGUAAAAAAAAAAAAGAAACGCUAUGAACCAAAUUUUACAACACACACUUAGUAAGUCGUAGGGUCACAAAUUUUGUAUUUGGCGCAGAAAGUCGAACUAUGAAAUAUAAAAUAAAAAAAUAUAAUUAAAAGACCUUAAAGAUGUACUUAUCCACACAUAAAUUCAUUCUUCCCUGUUUUGUCUGUUAUUAUUUUGUUGUCAUUUUGACAGCUGCAAAUGUUACAAGAUCUCCUGCGCAUUUAAAAAUAAUUGUGAGGUAAUGUCAAUCUCCUUAGAUCAAAAUAUAUUUUUAUAAGAAGAUGUAAAUGGAUCGGAUACACAUCCAACAGAAAAAAAAACAAAACAUGAUGGACAUUGUGGGAAAUGUCGUUUGAAGCCAAAACUAUACAAAUUCAUAUAAAACGAAAUUUACACCCCAGUUCUAUUGUUAUACUUCAUAGUUUCUAUUUUUGAAACACGUGUAAAUUGAAUAGAUCUAUUGUUACGCAUAACAGUGGAUUUUGACCACAGGGUAUGACGAGCGGGUUUCUGGAAACCCCUGCUUCUACAUCCCGCAAACAAAGUCCAUUGUUAUUCUUAACAAUAGAAAUUGAUUAUUCUUUAAAUAGCAUGAACAUAAGAAAUUAUUAAUAGUGUUCACUACAUAUUGUUUCAAGAUAUUAAAAAAAAACAAACAUUUUAGAAAAUUCCAAUAGCGAAAAAAAAAAAUAGGCAUCUAUUUUGAAUACAAAAAUAAUCCUUUAAUAUAUAAUUACUCCUUUAGUGAAAGUAAUGUUUUCUAUCCCAGUCAUAUGUCUCUAUUCUAAAGCAUUGAUAUUUUUUUUUCAAAAGAAAAAUGUGGAUACUAUCCAGUGGUCGAUCCGGUGUACGGGUUCCGCGGGUUGGACCCGAUUUCAAAGAUCAAUGUAUUUGAAUGAUUGGAACCCCCCCCUUUCUGUUGAGUUUGGGACCCCGGCUGGAUCAGCCCCUGCCCCCAAAAGAGAGAGUUACGAAAUACUAGAUCUGUUUCUUUGUAUGCUUUGAGCGCGUUUGAUAGUCGGGUUUCUAUUGCAGACACACUUAUCCCUUUGUAAGUCCGAAUAUGAAUGUUUAUUUAUUCUCGAGAAGAAGGGGGGGGGGACUUUUUUCUAUAAAACCGUAAGAUAAAAAAUAUAGUUAUGAUUACCUUUAUCAAACUGAUACAUGCAAGUACUUUGGGUUCUAAUAUUGCCUUUAUCUUUAGUCUCUUCUACCAAAUCCAACGCUUGCCACAAAAUGUCGUCCGUCUCACACCCUACCAUAGUGACAACUGCAUCCAACGCUUGCCACAAAAUGUCGUCCGUUUCACAACCUUCCAUAGUGACAACUGCAUACAAGGAGCAUGACGUAUCUUUUGUUUGUAAAUAGGAAUACACAAUACGGUCAAGCUUGACCUGCUGAUCCAUAUUAUCACAUGGAUUUCAUUGGCACAUACAAAACAACAUUGGCAUUGGUAAAAUAUACUAACUUGUCAAAGUUUGAACGAAGAUAACCAAAAAAGGUUACUAGUGGGGUUUCAUGUAAUAAUAAAAACAUUAUAAAUCCUGUUUUGAUAUUGUCAAUAAAAUAUAUAUGCUAUCGUUUUUGUUUUCAUCUAAGAAUCAAUGUUCACAAUAUAGAGUUUAGAAUGGGGUGUAAGUUAGUUAUACACCUCGGGAUACGGCAUGUCUGGAUAAGAAACCCCUCUGGCCUCCGGCCGACGGGGUUUCUAUUCGGAAACACCUUUCCCUUAGUGUAUAACUGUUACAUAAACACGCGAAACAUAAAGUUCACAGACAGCUAACUGGCACUAAUGAAUGACUCUAAAUCCUAAGCGGAAAUUUCGAUCUGAACAUCAUCUACAAAGUCAAAAUAAUAAGUAAGUCAUUUUACAUAUUUUAGUCAAUUUUCGGUAAAUCUUUUUUAAUCUUAAUCCCUGCGUCAAAUUCAGAACUUUUUAGACAAUUCAGUAUGAUGUUGAUAUAUAGAUACAAGAAGCUGUGGUAUGACUGCCAAUGAGACAACUCUCCAUUCAAGUCACAAUUUACAAAAGUUAACAAUUAUAGUUCAAGGUACGGUCUUCAAAAUGGCGCAUAGGCUCACACCGAACAGCAAGCUAUAAAGGGCCCCGAGAAUUACUAGUGUAAAGUUUGAAUGUAGAUUGAUUAGAUAUUGACAUUCACUCACUAGUGAAAGUCGGGAGCAAAUACAUCUGUUAUUUUUAUGUAAGUGUUUCGUUUUGUUUUAUUAUAUAACAAGACGUUGUUUUUCUAGUUUUGACAGUUCUAUAAUUUUUAUGCUAGGCUCCUUUAUAACUGAUUUAAUGGUUUGGGUUUUGCUUAUUAAUGAAGUCGUACGAUAUCUCAAGAGUUCCCAUAUCAAAAACAAAUCAUGUACAAGUAAAUAUAAUAGACAGAAAAAUGAAUUGAACUGUUUGGGCUAUAUUUAUGAAACUUUAAGCCAUAGGACCAUUUUAUUUGGGAAUGAUUGUUAGGUAGACAUGGCAUGUUUUCAUGGUUGUAAGGUGUACAUUGUUGUCUGGUAAGGUUCAUCAGACCUUGACCACAUUUUCAUUUUCAUGGUUCAUUGAUUUAUUCAAGGAUCAAUAUUGGCAAUCAGGUCUGCUUCUUUGGACCUUUGGCUCAAAGUAUCCGAGUAUAUACAAUAUGCCGCUACUUAAUUGGGUGUAUGGUAUGAAAUUUAAUUUAAUCAAGUAAAGCAGACUAGAUAUUUCAGCAUGUGUACUCCUGUUGUCGUUUUAGUUGCAUUUUAUUAAGUUAGUUAUUUGUGAGGAAACAUGUAUAUAAAGUUGACUUUUAAUAAUCUGACCUCGUCCACCAUAUUCAGAUUCAAAAUAUGUCACAGUGGCUAGCUUAAAUGUACUUGCAUUUCUUUCUCUCGAAAUAUUGAGAUAUUAGAUCUAUGAAAAAGACGCUUAAUUAAAUAUGUUACUUCACUAUUAUAUUACAUGCACAUUGUAUGUUCUAUGCAUGCAGACUCAAAACUCGAUACCAACAAAAGUAUAAACAAAUGGUGAAUUAAACACUUUCAUACAAGUAAGAGGUUUAGCUAGCUAUAAAACCAUGUUUUCCACCAUUUUCUACUUAAUAAAAUGCCUGUACACAGUCAUGAAUAUGACAGUUGUUAUCUAUUCGUUUGAUAUGUUUGAGAUUUUAUUUUGCCAUUGGAUUAGGGACUUUUUGUUUUGAAUUUUCCUCGGAGUUCAAUAUUUUUGUUAUUUUACUUUUUACUACAACCAAGUCGAUGUCAAGUUUCUUUCUAGAAUAAUCAUUACUGUUGGUGGAUUAUUCCCCGAGGGCAUCAUUAACUUGGUAGCUUAAUGCAUGAUGAAUACAAAUAAUAUAAAGAACAAACCGGCUAGGACCUCGCCCGGGUAACCAAGGUCCUCUUCUGCUACACGGAACACUGUAGCAUUUGAUUUGUGUGUUCCACGGAAUAUCAUUCGGGAUACCCCUGAUUUGACUUAUGUUCAGUCAGAAGGUAAUUAAUACUUUAAAAAUUCAUAUACUUUUCAUAAAUUAAAACCAUGUUCCGUUAAUAUAUUCGACUGUUUAAAGACACCUGCUACAAGUGAAUCAACGCCUAUCAUUUCUUCUUGUAAACAUACAAAAGGAAAAAAAGAACAUUAAUACAUGUAAUAAUUUAAUCAUGACUCCUGAUUUUACUAGUAACUUAACAGGAAAAAAUUAUUAAACUAAAUAUUUUGAGCCUCUGGAUUGUUCCACUGACAACUUAGUUUACGGAAUUGAAUGUAACAACUUAAUGUUGGUGAAACUCGACAAACUUUGCGUAAAAGAAUAAAUCAACACCGGUCUGAUAAUAAAGAUCCACAAUUUAGAGUUCUUUAUAACCAUUUUAAUCAACCGGGCCAUGAUCCUUCUUUUUUUAUGAAGGUACGCAUCAUCGAGAAACUUUAUCACCACACCGAUAGCCCUAUAUUAAGUACUCCUUUCCGAAAAGAUAGAGAAACUCUCUAGGGAACUAGGUACUGCAAUGUCAAAUGGUUGCAAUAAUAACAUCAAAUGAGUAGGAAAUUUGUCAAGUCCAGCCUGCAGUGAUGUAAAUAUAAUGAACAUAUUUAAUACUACUUUAAAACACCAACGUAGUCAUGGGUAAGGUUACAAGAGCGCAAUUAUUCGUAAUGUAUUUUCCAUAGGGUACCACUGGUGUUCCGUAUUUUUUUCUCGAAGACUACUCAAACUUUGGAAAAACGGGUAGCAGUUCCUGUUACUAGAAAUGCCAGUGUUGCAUUACAACCAAAAACAUAUAUGGGGUCAUGCGACAAAAAUUGAUUUAAAAUGACGUGAUAAAAUCGUCUAUGUUUUUCGCUGAAUGAAAAAGGCAUAUUUUAAUGGCUCCGACGUGCAGAAAUGUAAGAUAUUUUCUAUACUUCAUAAAAUGUGAAUAUGAUUGUCUGCAAUUUUUAAACCUAAUUGAAUAAGCUUUCGAUUUAAUGUAAUUCCAAUCCUGUAUCAUCCAGUCAGAGGCCGUAUAGGAUUCUAUUCUGAGUACCAAAUAAUUGCGCUCUUGUAACCGUAAACACCUUACCACCGGCCUAAUGUAAAAAAAAGUCUUUCAAAUCUAGAUCGCCCUCUGGGAGCUUAGAUGACCUUCUUUUACGUUUUCAUCAUCCGCUGGGGUUACAGUACAUUAGAACUAUUCUUCUUUCGCUGCCUGUUGAUUUUCUAAAAUGUUUGAGAGACUAUGCACUUGACAAGGAUGCAUAAAUACAUUUACUCCAAUAUACAGAUUUGUCAUUAUAAUUUGUGAUGUAGCUCUUUUCCGUCUUUUUAAACCAGUUAGAUCUGAACCUUUACAUGAGGAAAAGAGGAAAUUCCUUCCUGUUCAAUUUACCAAUAAAAGAAUUGAUUUAAUCAACAUCAACAACGUUCUACAUCACAAGGAGGUAACAUCUAAUAUUCCACUUUAUUUCCAAAAUCAGUCUGUUCCUAAUGUAUCAUACAGUUACAUCAAAACCAUUGCACCCAAAGUAUUUAACUAUAAACAAGCGCUGCAGGACCUUGAUUUAGAACAAUACCUAAAAAAAAAACAAAAAAACGCUGACAUGUUACUGUUCUCACUCACCUUAUAUUAACAGCCCCUCCGGCCAUUGUUAUAACUGGGGAUCUGAACAUAAUUCAACAUGAACAUCUUCGAAAGGUGAUAUCUCAUGGUCAUACUUUUAGAGAACCCCAACACAUCAAUUAGAG
rnacentral:lncRNA from 1 species